GUCUUAAUUGGGCGUUAAGUUGCAGGGUAUAGACCCGAAACCCGGUGAUCUAGCCAUGGGCAGGUUGAAGGUUGGGUAACACUAACUGGAGGACCGAACCGACUAAUGUUGAAAAAUUAGCGGAUGACCUGUGGCUGGGGGUGAAAGGCCAAUCAAACCGGGAGAUAGCUGGUUCUCCCCGAAAGCUAUUUAGGUAGCGCCUCGUGAAUUCAUCUCCGGGGGUAGAGCACUGUUUCGGCUAGGGGGCCAUCCCGGCUUACCAACCCGAUGCAAACUGCGAAUACCGGAGAAUGUUAUCACGGGAGACACACGGCGGGUGCUAACGUCCGUCGUGAAGAGGGAAACAACCCAGACCGCCAGCUAAGGUCCCAAAGUCAUGGUUAAGUGGGAAACGAUGUGGGAAGGCCCAGACAGCCAGGAUGUUGGCUUAGAAGCAGCCAUCAUUUAAAGAAAGCGUAAUAGCUCACUGGUCGAGUCGGCCUGCGCGGAAGAUGUAACGGGGCUAAACCAUGCACCGAAGCUGCGGCAGCGACACUCAGGUGUUGUUGGGUAGGGGAGCGUUCUGUAAGCCUGCGAAGGUGGCCUGUGAGGGUUGCUGGAGGUAUCAGAAGUGCGAAUGCUGACAUAAGUAACGAUAAAGCGGGUGAAAAGCCCGCUCGCCGGAAGACCAAGGGUUCCUGUCCAACGUUAAUCGGGGCAGGGUGAGUCGACCCCUAAGGCGAGGCCGAAAGGCGUAGUCGAUGGGAAACGGGUUAAUAUUCCCGUACUUGGUGUUACUGCGAAGGGGGGACGGAGAAGGCUAUGUUGGCCGGGCGACGGUUGUCCCGGUUUAAGCGUGUAGGUGUGUGUUCCAGGUAAAUCCGGUUCACUUUAACACUGAGGCGUGAUGACGAGGCACUACGGUGCUGAAGCAACAAAUGCCCUGCUUCCAGGAAAAGCCUCUAAGCAUCAGGUAACAUCAAAUCGUACCCCAAACCGACACAGGUGGUCAGGUAGAGAAUACCAAGGCGCUUGAGAGAACUCGGGUGAAGGAACUAGGCAAAAUGGUGCCGUAACUUCGGGAGAAGGCACGCUGACACGUAGGUGAAGUGAUUUACUCAUGGAGCUGAAGUCAGUCGAAGAUACCAGCUGGCUGCAACUGUUUAUUAAAAACACAGCACUGUGCAAACACGAAAGUGGACGUAUACGGUGUGACGCCUGCCCGGUGCCGGAAGGUUAAUUGAUGGGGUCAGCGCAAGCGAAGCUCCUGAUCGAAGCCCCGGUAAACGGCGGCCGUAACUAUAACGGUCCUAAGGUAGCGAAAUUCCUUGUCGGGUAAGUUCCGACCUGCACGAAUGGCGUAAUGAUGGCCAGGCUGUCUCCACCCGAGACUCAGUGAAAUUGAACUCGCUGUGAAGAUGCAGUGUACCCGCGGCAAGACGGAAAGACCCCGUGAACCUUUACUAUAGCUUGACACUGAACAUUGAGCCUUGAUGUGUAGGAUAGGUGGGAGGCUUUGAAGUGUGGACGCCAGUCUGCAUGGAGCCGACCUUGAAAUACCACCCUUUAAUGUUUGAUGUUCUAACGUGGACCCGUGAUCCGGGUUGCGGACAGUGUCUGGUGGGUAGUUUGACUGGGGCGGUCUCCUCCUAAAGAGUAACGGAGGAGCACGAAGGUUGGCUAAUCCUGGUCGGACAUCAGGAGGUUAGUGCAAUGGCAUAAGCCAGCUUGACUGCGAGCGUGACGGCGCGAGCAGGUGCGAAAGCAGGUCAUAGUGAUCCGGUGGUUCUGAAUGGAAGGGCCAUCGCUCAACGGAUAAAAGGUACUCCGGGGAUAACAGGCUGAUACCGCCCAAGAGUUCAUAUCGACGGCGGUGUUUGGCACCUCGAUGUCGGCUCAUCACAUCCUGGGGCUGAAGUAGGUCCCAAGGGUAUGGCUGUUCGCCAUUUAAAGUGGUACGCGAGCUGGGUUUAGAACGUCGUGAGACAGUUCGGUCCCUAUCUGCCGUGGGCGCUGGAGAACUGAGGGGGGCUGCUCCUAGUACGAGAGGACCGGAGUGGACGCAUCACUGGUGUUCGGGUUGUCAUGCCAAUGGCACUGCCCGGUAGCUAAAUGCGGAAGAGAUAAGUGCUGAAAGCAUCUAAGCACGAAACUUGCCCCGAGAUGAGUUCUCCCUGAGACUUUAGGUCUCCUGAAGGAACGUUGAAGACGACGACGUUGAUAGGCCGGGUGUGUAAGCGCAGCGAUGCGUUGAGCUAACCGGUACUAAUGAACCGUGAGGCUUAACCUU
rnacentral:rRNA from 1 species